AGACGCGCUCUGUUCAAGAAGCGCCUUCCAAGAGCACGUCAGGAGUUUGCGCACGAGCAAGUCACACGCGGCCUGACCGUUGGGCUUAAGGAAGCAGGAGCUCGUCUUCCCACAAAACAAGGAGCCUAGAAGCGGGCGGUGGCGGUCUGGGCAGUGGCAGCGGGGCGGGCGUCCCUGCGAUCCUCGGGCGUUCUCUCCAACCCUCCUAAAACGACCCGGACACCCCUUCUGCAGUCAGGCAGGAUGUAGGGGAGAUGGGUGCUGGUGACACCAGCCACCUUUCCCGGGACAGCAAGGCCUCCCCAGAAGUUCUCCUACCAGCACCCUUUGCCCUCACCUGUCAUUGCCAACGCCAUGUCACCUGGCCAGUCCUAGCUGCAGAGUCCUUUUCUCUGCCUGUUUCGGUGCUGGGGCUGUCAUGACAAAGUACCACAGACUGGGUGGCUUACACAACAGUCCAGAGGCUAGACGUCCGAGAUCAAGGUGUCCGCAGAUUUCCCAGGUCCACCCUAACGGCCUUUUUAACUGGAUUGCUCCCAUGAGACUCUACUCCAAAGAAAGUCACGUUCUGGGACACCUGGGUGGCUCAGUAGGUUAAGCGUCUUUGACUCAGCUCAUGAUCUCACAGCUGUACCAGGUGAAAUUUGGUGCCCCAGCUGCCAGUGGAAGUCUCUGCCAUGGAAGCCAACUAGCAAAGUCCUUAUCUGUGUACAGCAGACAAGAAUGCCUUCCAUUUGUGUCUGGAACCAGAACAUCCCUAAAGUCACAUGCCAUUGCUUCGUACUUUGGUACUCUUUCCCCAUUUCCCAGGGAGGCAGGGAUCUCUUACCCUCCCAUUGCCAUCCCGACCCUCCAUCCACGUUGUGCCAGGCACAGCACUCUAGUGUCUUCCUGUGAAGCUCUGGGUUCUGCACCACCCACUCUCCUUCCAUCAUUCAUGGCCGGGGGUCUUUGUACCUCUGGGAUUGGUCCUCAUCCCUCCACUGCAUCCACUCUGCAUCACUUCCUCAGACUUGACCUUCAACACUGCCAUCUGAUACUGUUAUCAGAUUUCCAAGUUCCCUCCAGCAUGAGUUAGGAGCUCCCCAGCCCACUCCAAGCUAUACUCUCUUCAGUUGACACCCUCAGAACCCCUGCUCUACAGCACCGUAUUUCUGGGGCUCACCCUGGUCUCAUGAAAUAGCUAUCUCCAGUUCAAUAAAAUGAUGGCCUUGGA